UACGUAGGCACCAAGCGUUGUCCGGAUUUAUUGGGCGUAAAGAGCUCGUAGGCGGUUGAGUAAGUCGGGUGUGAAAACUCUGGGCUUAACCCAGAGCCGCCACCCGAUACUGCUCUGACUUGAGUUCGGUAGGGGGGCAGGGAAGUUCCUAGUUGUAGCGGUGAAAUGACGCAGAUAUUAGGAGGAACACCGGUGGCGAAGGCGCUGCUCUGGGCCGAAACUGACGCUGAGGAGCGAAAGCGUGGGUAGCAAACGAG
rnacentral:rRNA from 1 species